rnacentral:rRNA from 1 species
ACCCUGGUGAAAACCAGGCUAAUACCGCAUACGCCCUACGGGGGAAAGCGGGGGACCUUCGGGCCUCGCACUAUUGGAUGAGCCUAUGUCUGAUUAGCUAGUUGGUAGGGUAAAAGCCUACCAAGGCGACGAUCAGUAGCUGGUUUGAGAGAAUGAUCAGCCACACUGGGACUGAGACACGGCCCAGACUCUACGGGAGGCAGCAGUGGGGAAUAUUGGACAAUGGGCGCAAGCCUGAUCCAGCAAUGCCGCGUGUGUGAAGAAGGCCUGAGGGUUGUAAAGCACUUUCAAUUGUGAAGAAAAGUUUAAGGUUAAUAACCUAAACCGUGACGUUAACUUUAGAAGAAGCACCGCUAACU